ensembl:lncRNA
CGAAGGCCUUUUAAACGUUAAUUGAUUUUUGGAAUAGCCUAAUCGAAACAGGGGUUUAACCGUGGCAAACUAAAAUGUAGAAUGGAAUCAAGAGCGUUUCAAAUGACAAGAGAACAGGAACCUCCUCGGAGCCAUUGUGAACACCUGCUCUCCGAGAUCGGGCCUCAUUCUCAGAGCGGCCGGGCGGAAGUCCUCGAGACAUCCCGAGGGACCGCCUCCGUGUCCUGAACCCGCACUUCUGUCUGCUCACCUUGGAUACCGCCUCCGCCGUCCCAUGAGUCACACUGCACCCGGGAGCCCUGGUCCAAGUCAACCGGACCCGGAAGGAGGACCCAGGCCCGCUCUGGAGAUAUUAACGGCAGGGCUAAACUGCGGCGGCUGUGGACUUUUAGUAUCUGGAAUUACACAAUGCACUUCAAGCUGAGGCAUUCAUUCGUUCUUUUUUUCUUGAUACUGUCUGUAUUUGUCCAGUCUGAAUCACCUUGUCAGACCUGAACACUCCACAUGUGGGGGAUUAAUACAUUUGUAUUGUAGCGUGCAGGUGGUCGAACAGUCGGGCGGUAUGAAGAGUUUGUUCCUGGGAAGAGAAUACACAUCUUUUAACAGCACAUGCAGCUAAAAUACGGGUAACAGACUAGAAUGGGGUGUUUAUAUUCAAGUGUGAAGCGUAAAAAGGCAAGAGAUCAAACAAUGUAUGGGCCGAAACAGGAAAGACAAUGAAUUGGAAGGAUGAAGAACAUGGAGGCAUACAUAUAGUUUGAGAAGAAAAGCAAGAGAAAACAAAAACAAAACGUCCUACAGGCCUACGAAGGGUAGCCAGGGUAAGACCGUAAAAG